rnacentral:rRNA from 1 species
CAUGUCCUUUUGUGAUUAAUUUAAGGUCUGACCUGCUCAAUGAAGUUUAAAUAGCCGCAGUAUUUUGACUGUGCAAAGGUAGCAUAAUAAUUAGUUUCUUAAUUAGAAACUGGAAUGAAUGGUUGGACAAGAGAAUUACUGUCUCUUAUUUAGUAUUUUUGAAUUUUAUUUUUAAGUGAAAAAGCUUAAAUUUUUAUAAAAGACGAGAAGACCCUAUAGAGUUUAAUAUUUGUUUAAAAUAAUAUUUUAGAAUUAUAAUUUUUAACUCAAGUAUUUGGUUGGGGUGACUGAGAGAAAAAUAUAAUUCUUUUAAUAUUUAAUUGAUAAUUUUCAAUUUUUUAAUCUAUAAUUUAUAAAAUUAAAAUAAAUUACCUUAGGGAUAACAGCGUAAUUUUUCUUUAAAGUUCUUAUUAAAAGGAAAGUUUGCGACCUCGAUGUUGGAUUAAAAUUAAUUUUUGGUGCAGUAACUUAAAAAUUGGGUCUGUUCGACCUUUAAAAUUUUACAUGAUCUGAGUUUAAACCGGUGUGAGCCAGGUUGGAUUCUAUCUUUAGAAAAAUUUUAUAUUUUAGUACGAAAGGACCAAAUAUAGAUUAAAUUAAUUGU